rnacentral:rRNA from 1 species
GACGAACGCUGGCGGCGUGCUUAACACAUGCCAGUCGAACGGUGAAGCGCCUUCCUUUUUGGUGGGUGUGGAUGAGUGGCGAACGGGUGAGUAACACGUGAGUAACCUGCCCCCUUCUCCUGGAUAACCGCAUGAAAGUGUGGCUAAUACGGGAUAUUCUGGGUCUGUCGCAUGAUGGGUCUGGGAAAGAUAUUGUUUCGGUGGGGGAUGGGCUCGCGGCCUAUCAGCUUGUUGGUGGGGUGAUGGCCUACCAAGGCGGUGACGGGUAGCCGGCCUGAGAGGGUGGACGGUCACACUGGGACUGAGACACGGCCCAGACUCCUACGGGAGGCAGCAGUGGGGAAUAUUGCACAAUGGGCGCAAGCCUGAUGCAGCGACGCCGCGUGAGGGAUGGAGGCCUUCGGGUUGUGAACCUCUUUCGCCAGUGAAGCAGGCCUGCCUCGUUUGUGGGUGGGUUGACGGUAGCUGGAUAAGAAGCGCCGGCUAACUACGUG